UUUAUAUUCCUUAAAUUUCAUUUCCAAUCAUAAUUAAUAUUUUCAAAGUGUAUGAUUUUUAAAUGAUAAAUAAAUAAAUUAGAAUCUAAUUCAAAAUUCAUUUCCAUAAAUCAUUAUGGACCCCUCUACGGGUAGUCCUCUCUUCCAUUUUGCUCCACAGCUUUUCUAUUUAUUUCAUCUAUCCAUUUUUCUAUCUAAAAGGGUAUCUAUAAAGAAGAUAAAUUAGUGUUUAUUUAUUUAUUCAUUUGUGUAAGUGCAAUUGUUGGUACUUUUUAGAUGGCAUGAAACUACUAUUGCAACCUUUUUAAGUGAUUCAGAGGUCAAACACACAAAAAUAAUAUUACCUAUGUAAAGAAACUUGCAUGUUUCUUCGAUAUGUAAUAGAUGACGCCAUCAGCCAUCUUGGUUGGAAGAAGUUUGACAAGUGAAAAGUCAUCCUUAUGAAUAAAUUGUUUGAUCGUGAAAUUGUAAAAAGGAAUUGAUAAUUUUAUAAUAGACUUUUAAUGUUUGUUCCUUGUUUUCAGCCGUCAACGGUAGUCAUCAAGAACGAGGAAGUAAAUGACCAAUUAUUAUUGAAAUGAUAAGAGAAAUUAAAACACAACCACAAAUCUAUUUUGAAUGCAGUUUGGACAACUAUGUAUUAUUGGUUAAAGAUAAUUGUGUACUUCAUAAUAAUUUAUUUGAAUCUAAUAAUAUUGUUAUAUUAAAAUGAUUAAUUAAA